CAAUUUAUAAUGAUUUUCUAAAAACAGAACAGGGGAUUUCGGAGUCAUUCUGACACCAUCUCACACAACUUUAAAUAUCUCAUUAUCGGAAAUUCCUUUGCUUACACGGUUUCUUUUAUAAGAAACUAGACUCAUUAAGCUUUAAUUUCAUGUCUCAUUCAGCCUCUAAUUCAAGUCCAUAAAUUUAUGGUGAUUUUCUAAAGUCACGUUACUGCUGCUGUCCGAAGCAGACUAUUUCAAAUUACCCUUAAAUUCCCAAGCUCAAACACUUAAGAACUUA
rnacentral:lncRNA from 1 species